UACGUAGGGGGCAAGCGUUGUCCGGAAUCAUUGGGCGUAAAGAGCGUGUAGGCGGCUAGAUAGGUCCGUUGUGAAAACUCGAGGCUCAACCUCGAGACGUCGAUGGAAACCAUCUGGCUAGAGUCCGGAAGAGGAGAGUGGAAUUCCUGGUGUAGCGGUGAAAUGCGCAGAUAUCAGGAAGAACACCCGCUGGCGAAGGCGGCUCUCUGGUACGUGACUGACGCUGAGACGCGAAAGCGUGGGUAGCAAACAGG
rnacentral:rRNA from 1 species